UCCCAACUUCCGCCUCAAAUCUGAACGUGCGUUAAAGAAAUUUAAAGCGUGGGUUAUUUCGGUUAUUUACUGUCACUGAAAUCUGAAAUGAACGGCAAAGUGCGGUUUAUCGGUAGCUAAAGUCUGCCUAUAAGAGAGAAAGCACACUCAUACGGAACUGAAAAUGCCAACGGCGGAUUGCUUUAUUUGUUACAUGGAGGAGAAAAACAUUGCAUACAUAUAAAAAUAAGAUGGAGCUGCAGGAAUAUAGACCCAACGCUGUGGACUCAGGGAACAUCUGAUCACGCUAACAAGGGCCUUGAAACUGAGAAAGGACAAAUCCUGUCUGCUGGAGUCUAUAAACAACAAACAGACGAUGCUCAAGGAGAAGCAGGAGGAGUCGGUAAAAAAACAGGGAUGGCUUGAUGGAGAAAUGUAUGGCUCUUGAGUGCCAAACAAAACCGAUAUCACUCUGGAGAAGAUUCUUCCAGCUAUUUGAAAGAAGUAGAAGGACCUCAACGCCACUGCUCUUUUUUUGUUAUACCAUAGACAGUAGAAUAAAUGGACACAGCGACGCCAUAGACUUCGACGGAGACCAGUGAAGUCAAUUAGAAGCACUUUCCCGGUGAUGGCUGAGCGUUAC